rnacentral:rRNA from 1 species
ACGCUCGACACCUACGAGAGGCAGCAGUGAGGAAUAUUGGUCAAUGGACGCAAGUCUGAACCAGCCAUGCCGCGUGCAGGAUGACGGCUCUAUGAGUUGUAAACUGCUUUUGUACGAGGGUAAACGCAGAUACGUGUAUCUGUCUGAAAGUAUCGUACGAAUAAGGAUCGGCUAACUCCGUGCCAGCAGCCGUGGUAAUCUGAGCGGGCUGGCAAGGC